GCACAAGAGGCCACCCAGGAGCGAGCAGCCCCGUCUCUAAAGCAGCUUCUCUGGUGGCCCAGUGGAAUGCCAGGCAAACAGGAGGGAAGGGCCCCGGGACCGAGCUGGAGAAGAAAAGAAAAUGUCCCAUCAUUGCUCGCCAGGGCAGCCUGGUCAAAAUUUGGAGGAGACAAUAGGAGAUAUUCGGACUGAGCGGAGACUGUGGCAUUCAAGGCAUCGCAUGCACAGGUGCUUUCGGAAAGGAAACAGGACAGUGGUCAGAGAGGGAGACACUUGCAUCAAAACAAUGUACAGAGUCUGUUUUCAUGUUACGGAUUCCAUUUAAAACUGU